ACAGAGCCGUAAAGGCGCGCGGGAACAUGGGGCUGUACGCUGCAGCUGCAGGCGUGCUGGCCGGCGUGGAGAGCCGCCAGGGCUCUAUCAAGGGGCUGGUGUACUCCAGCAACUUCCAGAACGUGAAGCAGCUGUACGCGCUGGUGUGCGAAACGCAGCGCUACUCCGCCGUGCUGGAUGCUGUGAUCGCCAGCGCCGGCCUCCUCCGUGCGGAGAAGAAGCUGCGGCCGCACCUGGCCAAGGUGAGCGGAGGGGAGGGACGGGGAAGUGAACCCCGACGGUCAGCGCUUUGUCAUCUGGUCUCAGCUCUGCUGCCGUGCACGGCGGGACUGGAGCAAGUCGCUCAUCUGAAAUGAGUAUGAGCCGACCUUCCCUGGUUUACGAAUUAAGAUGGGAUGAAAAUGCUUUAACUUUGAGUGUUCUGAAGGAUUAAAUAACCGAAGUACAAAGUGGUAGUGGCGGAGACUGUAAGGAAGUCGGGCGUGGCGGCGCGCACCUGUGGUCCCAGCUACUCGGGAGGCUGAGGGGGGAGGACCACUUGAGCCCAGGAGGUCGAAGCUGCAGUGAGCUAUGAUCUGGCCACUGCACUUCAGCCUGGGCGACAGAGCUAGACCCCAUUCUAAAAAAAAACAAAAACCCCAAACCCACACGCACGAAAGGGUAAUGUUGGCAAGAAGUUGGGUGCAGAGGUCUACUGGUGAACAUCGGUGGAGAAAGGGUCUAAGGCUGGGAAGCGAGACGCCAGGUUCCGAUCCUGUUCUGUAGUUAAUUUCUGGUGUGAUCUUGGAUAAGGUAUCCCACCUGUAUCUUGUCAGGUGAUCUGUUUAGCCAUUCCAUUGCCGGGGCUCCAUUAGAGUUAGUUCUAAGGCAUUCAUGCUUCAUGCUUAGGGGGUUUUUGUUUUUGUUCCCUCAUUCCCAGGUGCUAGUGUAUGAGUUGUUGUUGGGAAAGGGCUUUCGAGGGGGUGGGGGCCGAUGGAAGGCUCUGUUGGGCCGGCACCAGGCGAGGCUCAAGGCUGAGUUGGCUCGGCUCAAGGUUCAUCGGGGUGUGAGCCGGAAUGAGGACCUGUUGGAAGUGGGAUCCAGGCCUGGUCCAGGUGAGCUGGAAGGAGUUGGGGGGUGGGGGAGGUGGGGAACUUUGCUCCUGCCUACUCACUGCUCAUUGCGUCCUACCUAGCCUCCCAGCUGCCUCGAUUUGUGCGUGUGAACACUCUCAAGACCUGCUCCGAUGAUGUAGUUGAUUAUUUCAAGAGACAAGGUUUCUCCUAUCAGGGUCGGGCUUCCAGCCUCGAUGACUUACGAGCCCUCAAGGGGAAGCAUUUUCUCCUGGACUCCUUGAUGCCGGAGCUGCUGGUGUUUCCCGCCCAGACAGAUCUGCAUGAACACCCACUGUACCGGGCCGGACACCUCAUUCUGCAGGACAGGGCCAGCUGUCUCCCAGCCAUGCUGCUGGACCCCCCGCCAGGCUCCCAUGUCAUCGAUGCCUGUGCCGCCCCAGGCAAUAAGACCAGUCACUUGGCUGCUCUUCUGAAGAACCAAGGAUCUUUGCCUUUGACCUGGAUGCCAAGCGGCUGGCAUCCAUGGCCACGCUGCUGGCCCGGGCUGGCGUCUCUUGCUGUGAGCUGGCUGAGGAGGACUUCCUGGCGGUCUCCCCCUCGGAUCCGCGCUACCGUGAGGUCCACUACAUCCUGCUGGAUCCUUCCUGCAGUGGCUCGGGUAUGCCGAGCAGACAGCUGGAGGAGCCCGGGGCAGGCACACCUAGCCCGGUGCGUCUGCAUGCCCUGGCAGGGUUCCAGCAGCGAGCCCUGUGCCACGCGCUCACUUUCCCUUCCCUGCAGCGGCUCGUCUACUCCACGUGCUCCCUCUGCCAGGAGGAGAAUGAAGACGUGGUGCGAGAUGCGCUGCAGCAGAACCCGGGCGCCUUCAGGCUAGCUCCUGCCCUGCCUGCCUGGCCCCACCGAGGCCUGAGCACGUUCCCGGGUGCCGAGCACUGCCUCCGGGCCUCCCCUGAGACCACGCUCAGCGGUGGCUUCUUCGUUGCUGUAAUUGAACGGGUCGAGGUGCCGAGGUGAGUGAGUGGGGGCGUGCUUGGGAGGCGCAGGAUGGCACCGGCACAUCUAACAUCUACACUUCUCUAGCUCAGCCUCACAGGCCAAAGCAUCAGCACCAGAACGCACACCCAGCCCAGCCCCAAAGAGAAAGAAGAGACAGCAAAGAGCCGCAGCCGGUGCUUGCACACCGCCUUGCACAUAGCAGAGGCUCCAGGCUGACUCCUUCCUGGUGGGAAAGGAAGAUGCCUGUCUUCUCCGUGGAGGACCCUGGGCCCUCACCGCAGGCAGCAGUUUGGGUUUUGAAAGGUUAUUGGGUCCCUUCCUCGGGCUGUGUUCUUGCUGGUGAGCAAAGUGUUGCCUGCAAAAAUAAAAUGCAGAACGUACUCUACGAU
rnacentral:sRNA from 1 species